rnacentral:rRNA from 1 species
GAUGAACGCUGGCGGCGUGCCUAAUACAUGCAAGUCGAGCGAACAGACGAGGAGCUUGCUCCUCUGACGUUAGCGGCGGACGGGUGAGUAACACGUGGAUAACCUUCCUAUAAGACUGGGAUAACUUCGGGAAACCGGAGCUAAUACCGGAUAAUAUAUUGAACCGCAUGGUUCAAUAGUGAAUGACGGUUUUGCUGUCACUUAUAGAUGGUUCCGCGCCGCAUUAGCUAGUUGGUAAGGUAACGGCUUACCAAGGCAACGAUGCGUAGCCGACCUGAGAGGGUGAUCGGCCACACUGGAACUGAGACACGGUCCAGACUCCUACGGGAGGCAGCAGUAGGGAAUCUUCCGCAAUGGGCGAAAGCCUGACGGAGCAACGCCGCGUGAGUGAUGAAGGUCUUCGGGUCGUAAAACUCUUUUAUUAGGGAAGAACAAAUGUGUAAGUAACUAUGCACGUCUUGACGGUACCUAAUCAGAAAGCCACGGCUAACUACGUG